ensembl:lncRNA
GCCGGGCCUGGGCCGGCGGGGAGCGGAUUGGUCGGAAAGUAGGUUAGUGGUGCGACAUUUAGGGAAGGCAGAAAGUAGGUCAGGGACGGAGGUGCCUGUUUACCCGCGCCGGACUCACCGCCGCCGCCGCCGCGGGAUCCGAGUGGGGGCGCGGGCGCGGGCGCUCCCGGCGAGCCACGGUGGUGCUGUCUAACGUGCAUGUUUUUGGACCCAAGCUUAACUUUUCAAAUGUGGAAUGCUAGGCCUUCAUUGGAACUCUGCUGCUGCUGCUGCUAAGUCACUUCAGUCGUGUCCGACUCUGUGCGACCCCAUAGACGGCAGCCCACCAGGCUCCCCCGUCCCUGGGAUUCUGCGGGCAAGAACACUGGAGUGGGUUGUCAUUUCCUUCUCCAGUGCGUGAAAGUGAAAAGUGAAAGUGAAGUCGCUCAGUCGUGUCCGACUCUUAGCGACCCCAUUGACUACAGCGCACCAGGCUCCUCUGUCCAUGGGAUUUUCCAGGAUUCCCAAGCAUCUAAAGCUUCCAGCAGGACUGGGUACACAAGCGCCACAAGCGGGAUUCUCCGCAGGCCCCUGACAGCCGCUGCACGUACACUGUCCUCUGCGCAGAACAUCAUUCCAACUAUCCAACCUGCCAGCUACGUUGCGGCCCACAGCUAGAAAAAAAGGCACUCCUUCCUCAAGACACUUGACCACCACCUGCUGGAAAUUUAGGGGUGCUGGGGCAAGGAGAGGGAAAGCUGAGAGAUGCCUGGUCUGUGAUUGGAGGGCUCCCUGUGGCCAUCUUCCUGUGGACGGUGUGUGUG